AACGAACGCUGGCGGCAGGCCUAACACAUGCAAGUCGAACGCCCAGCACUGGGAGUGGCGCACGGGUGCGUAACACGUGGGAAUAUACCCUUGACUACGGAACAACGCCGGGAAACUGACGCUAAUACCGUAUAAUGUCUUCGGACCAAAGAUUUAUCGGUCAAGGAUUAGCCCGCGCCAGAUUAGCUAGUUGGUGAGGUAAUGGCUCACCAAGGCAACGAUCAGUAGCUGGGCUGAGAGGAUGAUCAGCCACACUGGAACUGAGACACGGUCCAGACUCCUACGGGAGGCAGCAGUAGGGAAUAUUGGACAAUGGGCGCAAGCCUGAUCCAGCCAUGCCGCGUGAGUGAUGAAGGCCUUCGGGUUGUAAAGCUCUUUUAACUGUGAAGAUAAUGACGGUAGCAGUAGAAAAAGCCCCGGCUAAAUUCGUGCCAGCCGCCGCCGUAAUAC
rnacentral:rRNA from 1 species